UAUUGCCGGUCGCGCACAGCCGAGGGCGCUCCCGGGAUGGCAUCGCCCGGCCGGGGCACAGGCGGGUCCGGCACCUCCAGGUGUUCCCCAGCGCUCCCAGUUCCCAAAGCAGAGCGGAGCUGCUGGAUGUUUCGUGCUCCACGGGGUAUUUUGAUCAGAGGAUUGCAGCAGCUGUGAAGUGUGCCUGCGAAUUCCCAGGCCACCUCCCUGCCCGCCGUGGGAUGGAGCCUCUGGGCAUACAUGUCUCAGUUCAGGAAGGGCAGAAUGUCGCUGUUCGCAUUUGCACUGUCCUGUUAAGUACUGAAAUGUGCAGUCACAUGGAACUAUGGAAUAUCUCAAGUUGGAUGGGACCCAUAAAGAUCAUAAUGUUAUACAUGGGAGUGACUUAGGUCAGAGUUUAUUAUAUUCAUAGCGUCAUAUGUGAACAUUUUUCUUGUCCCCUCCCCCAGGCAAGAGCAAAAUGCUGAAUCUAUAGUGAGUAGAGCAAAGUCCUCCUCCUGCACAGUUAGGAUGCACCAAGCAAACAGGAAAGCAGCACAUGCUAUCAGCAUGGUGCUGGGGCUAAGUACAAUGCCAGCAAGAAGCCUGUCAAAAGAUCAUUUAUUUGUGUGUCAUUUACCUAGCUAGACUCAAUGGCCUGUGCUUGGGCUGUCUAUUGCUGCAAUAUAAAUUUAUAUAUCUUUGUAAGGUAACAUGACAGAAGAUAACAUAAAUGCAAUUUUAAAAUCACAAAACAAUGAGUUUAGAAACUACUGAAGAAGCAGCUUCCAAAAAUUGUGCUUGUGCAAGAUGCACACAGCAUAUUCCUAAAGAGCUCAGAUGCAGACUGCUAUGAAAUGGUCCUGAGUACAGGCAUCCUAAUUAGAGGUAUUCCAAGUGGAUCAGAUGUCCAUUUAGAUGCAGAGUUUUGCUCUAUGUGGAUGAAUUGUGUUUUUAAGAUCCUGGCUACUCUAGAUGCAGAUGCAACUUGUCUCUAUACCACAGUGUUAGGCACACAGUAAUCCUUGCUGAGUGUUCUGACUUGUGCUAUGCUAUUGAAGUGAGUAACAUAAUGAAGUCCAUAAAAUAAAAUGCAAAUAAGAUGGUUGCA